AUGGAAUCCUCUUCCUCGUCAUCUGGAGCACGCUCGUCCUCCCAUGGUGAACCUCCUGGCUAUUCUCUGAACCCUUCCCCAAUUCCUUAUCGUGAGCAGCCGCUAGCAUACGAGCCAUCUGAAGAUUGCCCGUGCCACAAGAAAGCGGCGAGAUGGAUCUCCUGGAGCAACGGAAAUCCUGGUCGUAGGUAUCUGACCUGCCAGAGAUCUCGGGUAAGCAUUCAUUUGACAGUAUUUCCUUCUCCAUUCUUGCUGGAUCUUUCUCGCAUUCAUAUAUUUGGCACACUUUCUUGGCGAUGGAUUGAUGACCCUACUACGCCCUUUCUUCGCCAACUUUUGGUCGAUCUGCGUGACGCGGUGAACAACGUCCGGAGGGAGAACACUCAGCUUAGAGGAGUAAAUGCAGACCUGGAAAUGGGGAUUGAGGACCGAAGCACCCAGAAUAAUGCUUUGCGGGAUGCAUUGCGCAAGAUGAAGGAACAAAAUCAGGCUCUUGAAGAGAAGUUGGGGCAAACUGAAGGCCCGCUGAAUGUGAAAAACAAUGGUCAUCAGAAGCGGAUGCUUUUUAGUGUAGUUCUGAUAGUGAUGAUUGUGUUUUUAGUUAGCAAGCUUGCUGCUUAG
rnacentral:rRNA from 1 species